AAUCUAGUAGUUUAAAGGAUAGAAUACGGGACUACGGAUCCUGUGAUAUGGGUUCAAUUCCCAUCUAGGUUG
rnacentral:tRNA from 1 species